UCUUAUCACCAAACUGUUUUGAAAGAUAAAAGUACUUCCUGAAUAUGUGGAUGGUGAGCCACGUGAAUGGAAGACAUGGAGAUAUGGACUGUUAACACCUUGUCAAACAUUUAUUGUCCCUUCCACCUCUAAACUUCUGUGAUAAUAGGUGAACAGGACCCACGUGGUGCAGAAUACUGCGAUACACACUGCGGAAUAAUUCAGAACAACACGUGGAUUGCUCAGUACAACUUGUUCAUCACAUCCUCCUGUUCACUGAAGAAUUAUGGAAAUAUUCUCUGAGCUGCUUUCCUCCCUGCCCAACGAGUCAUCUCUGUGUGAAAGGCCAAGCUUAUAAAUCCUGAAGAAAGAGACAUUAUACAAAUGCAAGCUGUUGUCACAACAAUGAUAAGAAAUCAGGAGUCGAAAGAUGUGGAGUAAGGGGGAAUUUCAGAGAAACCACAAAACACAAAAUAGGAAACAGAGACAGGAGAAGAUUGCUAUGACAAAAUUGCAGAAGGUGAAAUCUUUGGCAGCCUCUUAUUUCUCUGGAGAAUAUGAUAUUGUCAGGCUGAGGUGGAAGAAUCACAUGGUCAUACUGUUGAAGAGGUCUUGAAACAUUGGGCUUUCCUCUACAAGCGGAAGGAUAGCACUGGCAGCCAUCCACUGGCCCAGCAAUAUCCUGGAUUGAGACGAUAUCAUUUGCAUUACUUGCUGAAUGAAACAUAGUGAAAAUGACUGCAGAUAACCUCAACUAAGUCCAAGAUAUCAUUUUCAAAUCUGGACCAGCCCUUGCCAUCUAGACUGAACAGAGAUUCCAGUUUCCAGGAGAGUAGAUGGAGUAAUGAUAAAAGCACCUCCCAAAACUUUUGCCUUGGUACUACAGAGUGGCACAUAACUAAACAUUAUCAAGGAAUUUUACAGCCCUAGGCCUUCUAUUACUGUGUAUUACAGUCUGCUGUAAUCAUUCUAAUGGUCUAAGAUGUUGCAAGUAAUUUACUCACGGCCUGAACACCAGAAGUGCCAAAAUUGCCUGGGAGUUUUAUUCUGCAUCCAACCAGUACCAGGAAGGAGGAUGUAUUACUUCUCGUUUCUCUACAAGUGUCAGUGCAAAUCCAGCCAUCAAACAAAACUUAGACCUAAAAGCUUUUAGAUUACAGCGAUUAUUGCAGAUUUUACAUGAGAUAAAAAUGUAAUUGCUCCA
rnacentral:lncRNA from 1 species